UGGGGAAUUUUGGACAAUGGGCGAAAGCCUGAUCCAGCAAUGCCGCGUGUGUGAAGAAGGCCUUCGGGUUGUAAAGCACUAUUGUCCGGAAAGAAAUGGCUCUGGUUAAUACCUGGGGUCGAUGACGGUACCGGAAGAAUAAGGACCGGCUAACUACGUGCCAGCAGCCGCGGUAAUACGUAGGGUCCAAGCGUUAAUCGGAAUUACUGGGCGUAAAGCGUGCGCAGGCGGUUGUGCAAGACCGAUGUGAAAUCCCCGAGCUUAACUUGGGAAUUGCAUUGGUGACUGCACGGCUAGAGUGUGUCAGAGGGGGGUAGAAUUCCACGUGUAGCAGUGAAAUGCGUAGAGAUGUGGAGGAAUACCGAUUGCGAAGGCAGCCCCCUGGGAUAACACUGACGCUCAUGCACGAAAGCGUGGGGAGCAAACAGG
rnacentral:rRNA from 1 species